GACGAACGCUGGCGGCAGGCCUAACACAUGCAAGUCGAGCGAGGACUUCGGUCCUAGCGGCGGACGGGUGAGUAACGCGUGGGAACGUGCCCCUUGGUACGGAAUAGCCCCGGGAAACUGGGAGUAAUACCGUAUGAGCUCUACGGAGGAAAGAUUUAUCGCCAAGGGAUCGGCCCGCGUUGGAUUAGGUAGUUGGUGGGGUAAUGGCCUACCAAGCCGACGAUCCAUAGCUGGUUUGAGAGGAUGAUCAGCCACACUGGGACUGAGACACGGCCCAGACUCCUACGGGAGGCAGCAGUUAGGAAUAUUGGACAAUGGGCGCAAGCCUGAUCCAGCCAUGCCGCGUGAGUGAUGAAGGCCUUCGGGUUGUAAAGCUCUUUAGCCGACGAAUAUAAUGACUGUAGUCGGAGAAUAAGCCCCGGCUAACUUCGUGCCAGCAGCCGCAGUAACAC
rnacentral:rRNA from 1 species